AUGGCCGCGCCGCUGGGGCCGCGCGCCAAUGAGGGCGGCGGCUGGCCGGAGCAGGGCGGCGCCGGGCCGGGGGCGAGGCGGCUGGCCACGGCGCUGCUGUUCCUGGCGGCCGUCGCGCUGCCGUGCCUCGUGCUGUACCGCGCCGUGGCGCCCGGCGGGGUGCUCGUCCAGCCCGCCGCCCGCCUGCCGUGGCUGCAGGCCGGCGCGCCGCCGCACGACGACGACGACGUCGACCUGGAGAGCGACAGCGAGGACGUGAGGCUGGAGCGGGUGCUCCGGGCGGCGGCCAUGGCCAACGACACGGUGAUCCUGACGACGCUCAACUCGGCGUGGGCGGAGCCGGGGUCCAUGGUGGACGUGUUCCUGGAGAGCUUCCGGGUGGGCGAGCACACCCGGGAGCUGCUCGACCACCUCGUCAUCGUCUCGCUCGACCUCGCCGCGCACCGCCGCUGCAAGCAGAUCCACCCGCACUGCCUGGCGGUGGCCACGGAGGGCGUCGACUUCUCGGGGCAGAAGAACUUCAUGACGGACGGGUACCUGCGGAUGAUGUGGCGCCGGAUCGACUUCCUCCGCCAGGUCCUGGAGAAGGGCUACAGCUUCAUCUUCACCGACACGGACAUCGUGUGGCUGCGCAGCCCGCUGCCGCGCCUCUACGCCGAGGGGGACUUCCAGAUCGCCUGCGACCACUUCACCGGCGACCCCGACGACGUCCUCGGCAACGCGCCCAACGGCGGCUUCGCCUACGCGCGCGCCAACACCGAGACCGUCGAGCUCUACCGCUACUGGUACGCCGCCAGGGAGCGCCACCCGGGCCUGCACGACCAGGACGUGCUCAACCUCAUCAAGGCCGACCGCUACCUCGCCGAGGUUGGGGUCAGGAUCAGGUUCCUCAGCACCGAAUUCUUCGGGGGCCUCUGCGAGCCCAGCCGCAACCUCAGCGCAGUCUGCACCAUGCACGCCAACUGCUGCGUCGGCCUCCGCCGCAAGAUCGCCGACCUCACCCUCAUCCUCCACGACUGGAGGAGCUUCAUGUCGCUCAGGGGCCCCGACAAGCGCUCCGCCUCAUGGAGCGUGCCACGGAACUGCAGCCUGGAUAAAGUGGAGGAGUAG
rnacentral:rRNA from 1 species